GAGCAAGGGCGUCUGAUUAGGUGACGAAACACUUGCAUUGAAAGUUGGCGACAUGUAAAAUCGAUUCUCCGUGCCUUCCAAAUAUGAAUCACGAUUUUGGUUACGGCCUCGAACAAAUCGCUACAUU